rnacentral:lncRNA from 1 species
UUAAACUGACAAAACUCGAUUGUGAUAAUUAUGGAAAGGAAUGGUUAUGUUGUUGCUUUAAUAUUAUUAUUUUUUUACACGGGACAGUCCAAAUGUGAGUAUAGUAGUGUAUUUAGGGUUCAUAUCGUUUAAUAGUGAAUACAAAACAACAGCCUCUCAUAAAAUACUUUAAAAACGUCAUAGUUAUCACUGUCAGUUCAAAAGAAAGAAUGAAAACGUAGAUUACGUGUUGUCCCUAAUUACUGUAGCCGCCGAAAGGAACGAUUCCUGGCACUAUUCCUUUAAAAUGAAAAAGUCUUGGUUAGGUAUAGAUAUAAUGUCUUCACUGGAUACUCUCAUCUGGGAAUAAAACUGUCUAAAGAGAAACGUCUUGGUUGUACAGGAUGUAUAAAAACGCAGCCACGUCUUGUCAGAAUAUGAAAACGUUUAAUGCAAUGUCUCGUGUAUUGUGAAUUCCACGCUCUCUGUGCAUUUAGGAACUGUUGCAACCGCUCUUUAAUAGGUCUACAUGGGUGCCAAGUUGCAAGAGCAAUUCCAGUCCAUGUUUUCAUUUUCCUUUGGUAAUCCAAAUCUCCACUUUUUAUCCUGGUCAAUUCACUUUGAAGCAACUAUAAUUUUGAUUUUUUCUCGUCCUACAUAUUCUUAAAAUAUAUAGUUCACUGUAAUGCAAAAAUCAAUCAAUCAAUCUAUCAGCCUUUUUUACAAUUAAGGUGUGAAAUAUCAAAGGAAGUCCUAUUUUUACUAGAUUUGUUUGAAUUAUUUAACUUUGAAAAUUAAGUAAAGAGAAAGAUAAUUCCCCUUCGAAUUGUUUUCUUAAGUCUGUCAAAUGUAAAAUCACGGACUACGGAAUAUAAAUAGAAUUUGCCUUUAUGUCAGGCUAUGCAUAAUAAUAGGGAAAAAUUCAAUCCAAAAAUAUAGACUAUUUAUUAUAAAUACUACAUAUAUGACCUAUUUCACGGAUUUGAAUGACAUUUUUCUUUCAACUAGAGCUUAACAAACUGAUUGUUAUAUCUGGAAAUGGAUAUAUGUAACCUUCAAACUUCCUGAUGUAAAGCAUAUUAAAUAUCCAGAAAAAAAAGAUAAAUCGAAAAACUUUAGGGAUAUAAACCGAGGUGCACCUGAGAUCACCCCAAGUUUUUGUGGGGUUCGUGUUGCUUAGUCUUUAGUUUUCUAUGUUGUGUCUUUUUUACUAUUUUUUGUCUGUUUGUCUUUUUAAUUUUUAGACAUGGCUUUGUCAGUUUAUUUUCGAUUUAUAAGUCUGGCUGAUAUCUUUUGCCCCUCUUUUGUUUCAAGCUUGAUGGAUAGGAGUUUGAGGGAUAAAAGAGGGACGAAAGAUACCAAAGGGACAGUCAAACUCAUAAAUCUAAAACAAACUGAUGGAUGCAGUCACUUUUCGGGAAAAAAUAUAUUGGAACAAAAAUUGAAAAUGAUUGACCACCCGGCUAACUUUUAGCCUAUAUUUGUUUAUUUGGCUUAUAUCUUUAAUCCUUCAGAAGUGUGUUCCUUUAGCAGCCUGCUGCAAGGUCACACUGUCAAUUUCCGCCAUUGUAUUAAUUUCUAUUUUGCUUGCGUGUAAAUAUCGUUUUACGCGAAACCUCCCUAUUGCGUACUAUUCUUGAAAGGAGAAAACAUUCAUUGCAAUAUUGGUGAAAAUGCAACCGUUUUAACAAUACACCCGACCACUUGCUCGACCAUGUCCACGCCCCAGCAUGCAACUUAUGAAACGUUUACUAACCAACUCCCCCUACUGAUAAAAGGAGGGCAAUACCGCGAAAUGCAAAGUAGCAAGUGUAAUAAAAAAGAGUUUUUAUUCCACGAAAACCUACCUGUAAACUAGGUCCUAUCCUGAGCAGCAGAUUAAUCAUGAUAAAUAAAGACCUUAAACUGACCAAAUCAUAAAACGAAGUUCAAUUCCACUGAUGUAUAACUUGCAAACUGGACCACUGAGAAAAAGAAAUCGAGCAAUCCCAAUGGAACAAAUCGUUCAAUCUCGUUCUACUGAUAAACAGGAGUCCAAUCUAGCUAUAUAAAAUAUAGAUAGUACGAUUUACAAUAUUAGUUUUAUGUACAUAUAAGGAUUUUUUUAAAAAGUCCAGAAAAAACGUAAUGCCUUUAAUGAUAAUAACUUUGAAAAUCUCAACAUUCUCAUUCCAAAAAAAAAAAUGCUACUCUCGACCUCUAUUUUUUGUAAAACUCCUUAUAAAAAUGAUAUAUCUGUUCCAAACUAAAGAAUUAAAAAGAUGAUUACAAAAUCUUUUUUUGUUUUGUUUUGUUACUACAGGUUUGCUAACUCUAUUUCAUGGAUGCUUCACUGGUUUUGAUUCUAACAUUUCCUUUAUGAGCAGCUAUAUGUCGAUUGAAAUGUGUUCUAAAUUUUGUGAUGAACAACAUUAUACCUGGGCAGCAACUUCGGUAGGUCAUUUUAUUUUAAUUUGCUCUCACGCUUCUCUCUAUCCAUAUGUCUCUCACGAUCACCUCCACAUCCAUAUAGAUCUAGAUAUCAAUCAAUAAAUGUACACAUGUGGGUAUAAGUAAAAAGAGACAGAAAAAAUAAAAUCGACACACAAUUCAAACAGUUUUUUGAGGUCAACAUACGAUAUUUAUUAACAGACUAUAAAGUCAAAUAUCAAAAUCAUGUGAAUGGAGUCUCAUGGAAAGAAACCUAUAACAUAUAUACCAGGCUUUAAUUGGCAUUUAACAGAGAUAAUAUUUUUUCUGAUAUUUGAUUACAUCUUUAUACUAAAUCCAUUAGAAGUUGGAUAUGUAAUGAUUAAGAAAUAAUUCAUGGAAGCCAUAGAUUUGUUGGAUAUUUACACAUGGCCUAACCCAGCCAUGUGUAAAUUUCCAACAAAUCUAUGACUUCCAUUAAUUAUUUCGAUUCUAAUAGGACAAAUAAGUUCAUUCAAAAAUGAAACGAGAAUGGGUAUGGACGUGUGUGUAGCUGUUCUUUUUACCCCUUGUUAGAUAAAGCUCAAAUAUUCUCAGAAAUCUUUAGCUUGCAUUGAUUAUUUCGUUAAUAACCGCUAGAAAAUAUAUGUUUAAUUAUCAAACUCAAUAUUUGCGAUUUUUAAUUUACAUGUUUUCUCGUAAGCUACCGUUAAAACCAAAAUUGACAUUUCGUAACGAAGGAGCUGAAAUCAUUAUUUACAACCACUGGGUCGAUGCCACUGCUGGUGGAGAUUUAUUUCCCCGAGGGUAUCACAAGCACUUUUUGUGCUGACAUGAAUUGUCAUUGAUAUGGUUAUAUUUAUAAAUUUACUGUUUACAAAUUUUUCAAUUUUUUGAAAUACUAAGGCUUUUCUACCUCAGGCAUAGAUUACCUUAGCUGUAUUUGGCAAAACUUUUAGGAAUUUUAGUUCUAAGUGCUCGUCAACUUCGUACUUUAUUUGGCCUUUUUAAUUUUUUUUGGAUUCGAGCGUCACUGAUGAGUCUUUUUGUAGACGAAACACGCGUCUGGCGUUUAUACUAAAUUUAGUCCUGGUAUCUAUGAUGAGUUUAUUUGAUAUGCAAAUAUUGCAAUAGAAUAGAAAAUAAAACAAAACCUACCUCAGAAGUCCAUUUUAAAACAUUAUUAUACGAACUUCGAUGGUUACAAAAAAAUAAUAAAAAAAUAUACUGCAACUUAAAUUAGUUUAUGAUUGAUAGCAUUUAAAAUCGUAACAUAAAUAUCAAGCGUAUUAUCAUCCCUUUAUGAAUCCCUGUUUGUGGAGAAAGUGUUCCAUUAUGAAAUUGACAUUGCACAAAAUAUAACAAUUUUACUAUAUUAAGGAAAUAAACACAACAAGUUAUAUAUUAUAUAUAUAUAUAUAUAUUUAUUCUUUUUAUAAUGCAUCCAAAUAAGAAUAAAAGUUCUAUUGUCUCUUGUUUUAUUACAAUUUCUAAUACAAUAAAAUCGGCAAUGCGUUUGCAAAUAGGUUCAAAUACAUGCGGAUUUACGUGGGAGGUAUAUUGUAACAUCCAUUAUUAUGUAUAUUUUUGAGUCUGCGCUAAGUAUAGAUAUAUCAAGAAUUUUCACACGGUGUUCUUUACAAAGAAGCACGUCAUAUUAGAAUUGAUAUUAUUCAGAUUCAUUGCUUUUAUAUUAGUUGCUAAAGGCUUUGAACUAGCUUUCAGUAACGCUCGAAUAGAAAAAAAGAUUAAAAGGCCACAGGCGCAUUGAGGACCUAAAAUUUUACUUAAUACAAAUAAGGUUAUCGAUUCCUUGGAGAUAUAUACUUUACAUACAGGCGCUGUUUGAGUGUUGCUACAAAGAAAAGGGAAGUUCAAGAGAAGAGGGACGAAAGAUACCAAAGGGACAGUCAAACUCAUAAAUCUAAAACAAACUGACAACGCCAUGGCUAAAAAUGAAAAAGACAAACAGAAAAACAAUAGUACACAUGACACAACAUAGAAAACUAAAGAAUAAACAACACGAACCCCACCAAAAAACUAGGGUAGAUCUCAGGUGCUCCGGAAGGGUAAGCAGAUCCUGCUCCACAUGUGGCACCCGUCGUGUUGCUUAUGUUAUUACAAAUCCGGUAAAUAGUCUAAUUCGGUAGGUCACAUUCAUGAAAGGGAAGGGGAUUGUAGUUACGACGUGAGGAACAUAUCUGAUAUCAUAAAUUUGGAAGUUUUCAAGUUAUCUAUUGUUAGGAGUAAUAUAAGUAAGUUUAGAAAUCAGGAGGUGUGGUAUUACUGCCAAAUCGACUUUUCAUCCAAAACAAAAGGACAUAGACGUAAAAAUUAAUGAUCACCAUACGAACUACGGUCGGACAUUAUGAUACUACAUUUGAGUAAAGUACAUUUAAUUGGUUUUUUUUCUGUUAAUUUUACAUGAAAUGCAUCAAAUCGGAAUAGCAAGGGCAUAGAUUCAAAAUAUGAUAUGUAUAGGAAGUAAUUUAAAGCCAGUCUAUAUUAUUUGAUUUAUUUUUAAUUGAGUUAUAUACAAGAAAUAUGACAGAAAGAAAGAAGGCACUCAAAAUAUUUGUUUAAAUUUAUUGUGUCGAAGGGUCACGUUGAUGGAGAUAUUUUGGACUCACAUACUGUCGCUAAGUGCAGCUGCAGUAAAGAACCAGCACAUACUGAAAUCAACGGAACAGUUUGUAAUUCUCCUUGUCCAGGAAAUGGAAAUGAAACAUGCGGGGGUCAAAAUACAACAUUUGUGUCAAUGUACAGCAUUGUUCAAGACGGUCAGUGUACUUUCCAUAUACACAAAUAAAUUUAU